GGCCUGUGGUUCAUUCCUGCUAGGCCCUGGAGGCGGGUACCAGUUACAGUGCUGGUGAGAACUGCUCCGGAGGGGAGACUCUUGAGAGGUUAACUGUGCUAAUUCAGUUCCUUGACAAUGGCCUGGACAGUAAGCAGGUACUGGGCAAUUUUACUUCUGUCUCUUUCAUUUAACUUACAGCCCAAUUCCAAAUAUGCUGCGUCCAAUCUUCCCACCCCUUGCCACAGUUCUGCAGGAGGUCAGGCCGACAAGACGCCAUUUCUGGGUCCUCGAGAUCAGAUCCCCUUUCUCCCUUUUUUUGAUCUGGCAGAAGGUGAAGAGACGGAUGCUCAGGAUAUUGCUGCUCAGGUGUGUUACAUUUGUGGUCGUAUUGGGUGUUCUCCCGAACAUCGGUGCCUGCACGAGCCAUAGAGUCACAUCCUCAACGAUGGCCGAGCCUCCUUCCUGACUCUGAUUGGACUCUUGAGGCCUCUUAAACCACUUGAUGGCCUGAAAAUUCACUAAAUAUGAAGCCCAGGCAACGAAAUUGCAAAGUGUACUUUACCUAAAAAUAAUUCAUGUCCAUUACUCAAAAGUUUCAGGGGAAGUUUUAUUGAAGGCCGUGAAGCAAACCUCCACUUGUGUGGGGCCUCUCUCGGGUUUUUUAAAUAGUGACUUCCUCAUCUGUCUUUCACUUCCCAUUACAAAGUGCUGACAUUACUUCUAACUUUUUGUAAACUUACCACUCUCACCACUUAAUUCGGUAGCUCUCCUUCUUAUUUUUCCUUCCUGUUAUUUUGAUUUUUGAACAUUCACGGGGUGUUAGGUGUCAACGCCAGCUAACCCCAACCAUAUAGGUCUUUCAUCUUUUCAUAGUGGGGCUCUAAGAUCUUUAUAACCACCAACAGAGAACUCUGUGGUUUGCCAAAAUUCCAAUCAGGAAGAAGGGCCCCUUCCUCCACUCUGUUUUCUAUUACAGCUUUUCUCCUCCCUGCUCCACUGCAUUGGGGAGCACAAGAGUUUGGGGGGAUGAAAAUGGCUCCUUGUCAUCAAAACUUGGGGACCCUUGCUUUCUAGAAAAACCACAAAAAAAAAGCCUUUCCAAAAUCCUCCUAAUGAUUUAAGACUCGAUUUAUCUAAGCCAUAUCUUACCUUUUUAUUCUUUUCUCAUUUCAUUCUUAAAUGUCAGGAUUUACAUUUCGAAUUCUGCUGUAAACGAGGUUUAUUAUUUUCAGCUCUAGUUUGUCC
rnacentral:lncRNA from 1 species